rnacentral:lncRNA from 1 species
GAUACUGUGGUGUCUCCAGAAAUGGCCUAAAGCAUGUUGCAGAAGUCUGUUUUGCUGAGCAGCUGACUUCUACCUGUAGAAGAGAGAGUUAAGCAGAGAGUAGAGUUAAGUAGACCUUUAAGAGUAGUUCUCUAUGCAUUUCUCAUGCUUGAGGUCAUGAGCAAGAAUUGAACCCACAGGCUCUGAACUGCAAAGACGGGACUCUUCCAGAUCAGCUCUUCUGAGAAGCAGGUGCCCAGCUGCAGCCUCUGCUCCAGGACAUGGAGCACAUGCAGUACUGGAAAUAUUUGCUGAACUUAGGUGACAAAUUCUUAUAGAUUGCUUCUGAGAACAAAGCCCUGCUUGCCCCAAGCUGUAGAGCUUGGUCAGUUGGAGACUGCAAAAGCACAACCUCAUCAUGACAGCAAACUUGGCAAAUUUCAAGUGUCCUUUCUGGAGUUGCUAGGUCUUGGUACAUAAAGGACACCAAGAUUUGAAUCAGCGUGCAGCUGACAGCGUGAAGAAUAACUGACAGCCCACUCGGGGAGUAUCUCCAUGGUGUGCAGUCAGAGCUGACCUCUGCACAGGGAGGCAGCUGCCAGCAUUUCCAACAGCAGCCAUGUGAUGGCUGGAUGCAGUUUGGCAGCUUUCUGUGUCUGACUCACGGUAGAUCUGGGCCUGAGGUUUUCUUUCUUUUGUUUUUUUUGCCUUCUUACGUUUUCAUCUAAAUCAAACACUAAGGAAUAACGAAGAAGAAGGAUGGUCUUGUGGUUGUGUGGCACUUAAUGAAGUGGCAGUUUGGAACUGGGAACUAUUUCUGGCUCCACCACAUCUAAUGGUCAAGGACAAAUAAUUUAAGAUCUUUUGGUCUCAGGGUUUUCCCAUUUAUAAGAUGAGGGUGAAAGCCCUCUGUGGGUGACCGAAUGGCUUGAGUGCUUUGAUUCCCAACAGAAAAAGCUAGAGAAAAUAAAAAAAAGGAUUUCCAAAUCAAUAAUAAAAAUAGAGAGCAGAUAAUUAUCCUGUCGCUGGCUCUUCUCCACUCUGUCACAGCCGCCCU